UACGUAGGGCGCAAGCGUUAUCCGGAAUUAUUGGGCGUAAAGAGCUCGUAGGCGGUUUGUCGCGUCUGCUGUGAAAUCCCGAGGCUCAACCUCGGGCCUGCAGUGGGUACGGGCAGACUUGAGUGGUGUAGGGGAGACUGGAAUUCCUGGUGUAGCGGUGGAAUGCGCAGAUAUCAGGAGGAACACCGAUGGCGAAGGCAGGUCUCUGGGCACUUACUGACGCUGAGGAGCGAAAGCGUGGGGAGCGAACAGG
rnacentral:rRNA from 1 species